AGGCCGAGCGCCGAACCAUAGGGGCCGGCUCCAAAAUAGGCAACGCGGUCGCUACUUGUGAUUGUGACCUAUUGUGAUUGUGUUGUUUGGUUUCGUCGGCCCCGCUUCCGACGAAGCGCGCUCAGACGCCGCAGCGAACCGAAGUAUUUUUGACACAUUAAUUAUUAUUGAGCGACGGCGGCUGAUCGCGCUACGUGUGGGGAUAUCGCCUUAUGUGCUCCUUUCGUACUAUAGUCGGCUUCACGCUUACCCGCCAGUCAACGUAAUACAUAAGUAUCGAUCUCAGCCUUUCAAGGCUCCACAUGGGCUUAGGAUUAUAAUUUGAAACGAUUUCGGCCGAACGGCUUUCGUACAUCGUAAGUUGUCUUAGUUUUUAUAUCGUACCGUAUUAAGAGAACACUUAUUCUUUCUCUUGUCCCCUUAACCUGUGAUAAGUAUGUUAGUAUAGAAUUUUUGGAUUACUUGGAAGGAUUUCGAGAUGCUCAUAUGUCAGUUGUACGUUCCUAAUUUCAGCUGUACAAUUUGCUUUUUAUUCACAAGGUAACUAGUCGAAACGUGGAAGUUUCCUUUAAGUUUUUUUUUGCGCUUGAUCAAGUGAUUUAUUUUUUAGUUUUUAAUCAAUAUGGAGCUUGAUUGCUGAUCUUAGUUUUUUUAUUAUUGGAACAUCUUCAUUAGCUUAAUUAGUAGCUAUUUUAUUUUGACAUUGAGAGAGGUAAUCUUUCUAUCGAGAAUAAUAAUGAUAUAGCACAGAAGAGACACACUUUGUGUUCAGUAGCUUCUGUACUUUAAAUAUUAUUAUUUUCUGGUCGAUUUAUGAUUAAUUUUAGUUGACAGAGAGCUGAAUAAGGAGAGGCGAUUAGAAUGUUUUAUUAUUCAUUUAUUGUUUCUAUGGGGUUUUAAUAAUUAGUAGUACGUUUAUCCAAUAUUUUAUCUUAACUGCAUGGUACUUCAUUUACGUAAUUGUAAACUUACUUUGUAAGAACUUGCAUGAGCUUCAAUGGGUUUCGUAGUCAGAGCGAGAGAAACGACGCGACAGACUUAUCUUGUAGUAGAAUAGGUAUGUUUAAUUCAUUUAAUACAUCCGAAAACAUAAAAAAAAAUAAAGUCACUUUAAUAUCUACAAAGUGUCAUUUAUAGUUUCCGGAAUUCAGGAUCCGUUUUUGUGAUCUAUGCAAAUGAACUGUUUGGGUGAUAUAAAAGUACCUACCUACCUGAACGACACAUAGUAUAACGGACGCUUUAAAAAAAACAUCCCCUUUGCAUUUUAUUUUGAAACCUAUUUGAUUUACGCACUGGUUAUGUACGUAGAGUCGGACCAAGAAAAGUCCGCAGCGGAUUUGAUAGCCCACGCUGUGUAAGUAUUAUUUAUAUGUCAUAUUUUCAUAGAAGUUUGACGUUUAAAAUAACACGUGCUCUGCGUGGGCUAUCAAAUCCGCUGCAGACUUUUCUUGGUCUGACUCUAAUCAUAAGGUAAGUUUGUCGCUUCGAAUAAUGAUUUUUCUAAGAAUUGACGUCCGAUUUCUGUAGAGCUAAAAGAUAUCUAUCUAUGGAGUUUUAGUAUUGUAAAGAUAAUUUGGGACACAGAAAAUGUAUUUCCAAGAAUGAAUAAAAAUCUAUUUUAAUAAAACUUCAAAUAAAGAUUGCUGGCAACCCUAAUUGACUAAUACAGGACGAAAAAAGUUUUGUUCUACUAUUUUUUUUUAUAUUUCACCGCUACAUUGACAUUUCUGUAUCCCUUAUUAUCUAAAUGCAAAGUUCAGCCGUCGCAUACCGUUAAACCAGAGUCAUAACUGCCACUAGCGUAUAAAUACAUCUGUAAUAUUUAUAAAGAUAUAUUGUAAUGGUAUAAAGUGACGCUCGGUGUAUUGAAGUUGGAUUUUGUUGUACAAUAAGACGUUUCUGAUUUGUGAGGCCACUCUAUCCAGCCGUACUGCUAGACUGAAGGCCUACCGCGAAGCACGUUCGACGUGUUGCCUCUCUGUCGCACUUGUAAAUUAGUACGUAAGUGUGACAGGGAGGCAACACGUCGAACUUGCUUCGCGGGAGGCCCUCCGAAACCGACAAAUGUUUUUAAGCACAAAACCGGACGGUCAAAAGUGAUAUCCAGACAGUUCGUUCAACGCGCAGUACAAAUAAUAGGCAUAAUAAAGUAAAAGGUGCCUUAUAUUUUUAAUUUCCGUGAAUACCAGCAUCGUUAGCAUGAUCGAGAUUAAGAUUUCGUCCCCUUCUGACAAAUAUGUAAGUGCGAAAGGGAUGAACGGCAUACUAACAUUAAUGUGGUCAUGUUAACAAGUCAGCAAUAUCUCAGAUCUCAGUAUAGUUCUGACAGUUGGAUAGUGUGGCCUCGUCUCAGACUAGGGGGCGAAAAAUCUGAAAAAAAAAAACAGUAAAAAGACAAAAGUACGAUUUUUCUUUCCCUAUCUGGCUCAUUUUGGAGUCUAUUUUUUAUUCAGACCAACAAGAAAUAAAACAUUGUAUAGGCAAAUAUGAAUACUAUAAUAUCUCUUUGAUCUGAAGGUUAACUAGUGUUUCGAAUUGUCUAUACAGGUACAUUUUGGUUGUAUUUAAUCAAUAAAAUGAAUGUUUAAGUAGUAUAUUGACGACAACAUUUACAAAUAACAAUGCAAAAAUUGUUGUAAGAUUGUGCUAUCAAUGUGUAAUAAUUUAUCUAACAAAUUUCCAACUUAUUUAAACUUUUGGAAUUAUUUUCUUAAACUUUUCCUAAAUACAUAUUUAUCUAUCUAUAUAGCUAUUUACACGCCACAGAUAAAAUAACAGAUACGUCUUAAUGUUCAGUGUAAGGGGCUAUAGGAUGAAUGUUAUCCAAACAAACAAUAUUUUUAUGUAGGAGAGUAAUUUUGAAUAUACAUUUUGGCAAAUAUGUAAAGCCCAUCGCAGACGCUGUGGAAUUCCGGAUGGUUUAUUUCUGAUGUCGGUAAUCUAUCAGGUUUCAAGGCAGUGACAGAUUUCCAGCCGGAAUUUUUAUAGCCAUUACACACUACCGCACCGUGACAUUGAUGUAGUGUGUGGUGGCGGUAGUGUGUUACGGCUUUUAGAUAUGGCGAGCCUAUCAAAAUGUCUAUUCAACCAGUGCUACCACUACUGUCAAAUAAUUUGUUUCGAUAAUAUUGUAAACGAAAAUACGUUGCAAGUUCACUUGUCUAUAUAAUAAUCGUAUUAACUUUUAUCAUAGGAUAAAAUUAAGUGUAUUGCUGCACAGUGUUCAAUGAAAAUAAGUGGCUGAAUAGAAAUAUCGUAGUCUCAAAACCCCAUUAAAAAAAACUGUACAUUGUUUGUGGUUCGCAGAAGACACGCUUGUAGACUCGUGCUUUCGGCCAACGAAAUCAGUUAAGCGAUUAUAAGUCUUGUUGUAUUUGGAUAAGGUUUAAAAUUAAUGAAUGACUGUUUGUAAUAAGCUAAGCCGGACUUUUCGAAGUUUUAUCAAUGUUUCAUCUUUUUCUCGUGCCGUUAGAGUGAAUGGGAUAGACAGUGGCUUUACUUCUGACUCGGCCAGUCCGGUGAUAGCAAUAGAUUUAAUAAUUGAUUGCCUUCUAAAAAUCAAAUUAUCAUCUUAUGCGACUAUAUUUUUAUUUUUAUCUACUCAAGCACAUCAUACUAGUGAUUUUCAAGCUUAGUUUUUCCAUCAUGUAUAGUUUAAAGAGCCAAAUACGUUAAGGCAAAUUCCUGAGGGAAAAGGACAGUCGAUCACAGCUCACUUUGUUCCAAAUGUUUUUUUAUGCAACUUUUUAAAACGUGACAUCUGUCAAUUAAGUUAUGCCCGAGGCAGGUAUCCGUUGAUAUUCCCCUUGCUAAGAUUUCGUAAAAACCAUUUACGAAACGACAUUCGAAGACACUAAGAUCGAAGCUUGCAAAACUCUAGUGUGAAAUCAAACUGUUGAAUAACCUUGUCAAUUUCAUUUUGAACAUUAUGCAACAAAAUGGAAAUUUAUUUCACACCGUCACUGUAAUUGUUUUUAGAACAAGUUCGCAUCACGGAAAUUUAAAAAAAUUACGAGAAAAUCAGGGCAACUAUUCCCACCGCUUGCCGCGCAUUCAUCAAUGAUCAUUUAUAAGUAUGAUUUCUGACUACGUAUAGUUCUGACAUGUCUUAUAGUUUCUACAUAGUUUACUACAGACAGCUGCACCGCCCGCACGUUCAAUCGUAUGUAAGGUGGUUCGCCGUACGUCCGUUAAGGACGCAGUUUAUAAGUGAGAGCGAAAAUUAGAUAUUUUGACCGCACCAAGGUCGCGGUUAUUAUAUACGGCGUCUGUAAAAUAUAGCCGAAACAGACUACCGCAUCGCACCGUGAUCUUGGAGCGGUGCGGUAGUCUGUUACGGCUAUUGUAUUGGUUAUCUCGGUAAGCGUUCGGAAUACGCCCGGCUAGGAGGCAUAUUUAAAAGUAUUUUUCUACUUGAUCGUUUAGGGACGCUGUGUAGAUAUUUUUGGACCAUUGUUGCGAUAUGAUCAGUAUUGGAUAGUGUUAGAUGGUUGGAAGUGAUUUGUCGAGAUUAGUAAACGCUUUGUAUAGACAUAAUGCACCCUAACAUUUGAACGUCUGUCUAUUCCUUGAAUAAAAAAAAUAAUAAUUUUGAAGCAUUUAUUCUCUAAUGGUUAAUAAAACACAGCGAACGCUGUGACGAUAAACAGCAAAAACUGAAGGAGAUCAAAGUUUUAUUUGCAACUAACGCCUUUAGAGCCCCUUGUUACACUCUAGAUUCUAAAUCAGAGUCACUCGCCACGCUUGUGAUUCUAUUAUAGAAUUUUUCACUUGCUCGGGAUUCGAAUUCGUGUUGACACUCGCAGCAAAAACUUUGAUCUCUUGUUGCACAAUUAUUUUUUUUACUGAAUGUUAAUAACAGCUUGCCAUUCCUACGUUUUAAUAGGCGCCGGGGAGCGCCUCUGUCAUGCACAUACUAUUUCUUUCAUCAGGGUUAGAGGUUUGACCUUUUCUGCAUGGAAGCAUUCGUCUCUUCUCGUUCUAGCUCGUAAGAGUGAAAGUGACGAAUAUUUUUCUGUCAGCAAAUGUGUUAAAUUAUUCUAGGAAUAGACAGCACGGUCAGUGUUCUUGUGACCAUUGUAUGGGCAAAGUAUUUAUAAAUGGUGCAUUUCAUUAUGUGUAACGCAGUCCUUAGCUGUACUUCCAUACAAGGUUUAAUCUUAGGUACACCUCACACUAGCGUCUUUUGAGCGUCGGCGUCUAGUCAGCGCUAUGAAAAAUGGCGUCGCUGUACAGUUGCGCCAACUUUGCGUCGAGCAGCAGCCAUAGAGUUAACUAGACGCUGACGCUCGGGACGCUCUAUAGUGUGGGGUGGCCCUUAAUAUAUAAAGUGGGUCUGUGAGCUGCAGACUUCGCGAACUCAUAUCGCCGGUCGCCGCCAUUUUGAAAAAAAUAUAAAAACUGAAUCGACAAAAUACCUGCUCAAAUAAUUAGCAGAAUACCUAUAAGAUAUCAAUUUGUUUUCUGCCUUAAACCUAACACCUUUAGGUAGAGUUUCGCGUGUACAUUUGUAUGGAAGUACAGUUAGCCACACAAGUAAUCCGUUAGGUACAGAACCGCUUCAUAUUUUUGUAUUCCCUUAGUGUAAAGGAGUUUGGUGUCUUCUAAAGGUGUACGCAACAUGCUAUAGAUGAAUAUUUCAUAAAUAUUUGGUUGAAAUAAUAAGUGCGUAAUAAAACACUUUUUCGUAUCAAAA